rnacentral:tRNA from 1 species
UGGCUCAAUGGUAGAGCCCUUGCCUUGCAUGCGUGAGGCCCUGGGUUCAAUUCCUGG